AAUUCGAAGCAACGCGAAGAACCUUACCAGGUCUUGACAUCCCGAUGCUAUUUCUAGAGAUAGAAAGUUACUCGGUUACAUCGGUGACAGGUGGUGCAUGGUGUCGUCAGCUCGUGUCGUGAGAUGUGGUUAAGUCCCGCAACGAGCGCAACCCCUAUUGUUAGUUGCCAUCAUUCAGUUGGGCACUCUAGCGAGACUGCCGGUAAUAAACCGGAGGAAGGUGGGGAUGACGUCAAAUCAUCAUGCCCCUUAUGACCUGGGCUACACACGUGCUACAAUGGUUGGUACAACGAGUUGCGAGUCGGUGACGGCGAGCUAAUCUCUUAAAGCCAAUCUCAGUUCGGAUUGUAGGCUGCAACUCGCCUACAUGAAGUCGGAAUCGCUAGUAAUCGCGGAUCAGCACGCCGCGGUGAAUACGUUCCCGGGCCUU
rnacentral:rRNA from 1 species